UUAGUGAAAUGUAACUUUGAAGCAAGUGAUUAGUUGCUUUUUUAACAACGCCAAAGAUGGUUUGGAAUCUGCAAUUUAUACACAUUUAUUUAUUAUUAAUAAUUGUCUUGAUAUCCAAUUAAUUUGUCAGAUCACUUCGCAUCUGCUCAAUGGAGUGUGCAAAAUUCCCUUGCGGUACGCGUGUUAAACGUCCUGGCAGUUGCCGUGAUAUGGGAGAUUUCUGUUGCACAGGCGUUAGCUGGACUUGCACUAUUUUAUUCUAGUGAAAAUUCGUAUUAAAGUACUUGUUCAGGGGUGUUCCAGAAAUGUGAGCCAACCAAAAUAUAUUGGUUCUUGGUUGGUUUGUAUUGUUGCACUGCUUUCUGGGUACUUUUGUGUAUAAGGACAAGCAGUUGAUAUGUAAGCAGUGCAAAAGGACAAAUGAAAUAAAUCAUAAGCAAU